rnacentral:misc_RNA from 1 species
GAUGAAGAACGCAGCGAAAUGCGAUAAGUAGUGUGAAUUGCAGAAUUCAGUGAAUCAUCGAAUCUUUGAACGCACAUUGCGCCCCUUGGUAUUCCAUGGGGCAUGCCUGUUCGAGCGUCAUUUGUACCUUCAAGCUCUGCUUGGUGUUGGGUGUUUGUCUCGCCUCUGCGUGUAGACUCGCCUCAAAAUAAUUGGCAGCCGGCGUAUUGAUUUCGGAGCGCAGUACAUCUCGCGCUUUGCACUCAUAACGACGACGUCCAAAAGUACAUUUUUACACUCUUGACCUCGGAUCAGGUAGGGAUACCCGCUGAACUUAAGCAUAUCAAUAAGCUGAGGA